AAGUUAAUGACCCAAUAAUACACACGGCACAACAAAAGAGUCAUGCAGUUGUGUUGGACUUAAAAAGAGGGGCAAAGUUCAUGCAAAGUCCAGCUCAAAGGAGGAGUACGAGCAAGAGAGAGAGAGACCAUUACAAGGGGUGUAUCGGCCAUUACGGCCCCGUAUCGGCCCCUAACUGUAUCGGUAACAGUGGGGACCAUUACGUCCACAGUUACCACAACGAUACACCUUGCUCCCAAUGGUGGGGAAGUUAACAAUAUAUAUAUA